rnacentral:lncRNA from 1 species
CUUGAGCCUCCCACACUCACCUCCCUUCUGUGGGAAACAAUGACGCAGCAACCUUUAAUGUGACAAAUGUACCUGCAUAACCAUGAAUAAGUCAUUUCCUCCUCUGGACCUCAGCCUCUGACACACUGCGAAUCCAGUUCAGUAAACACGAGUGCCAUCCUUGGAAGCCAACGGGACUCCCAGUGCUAAUGUCAUAGUCUUUCUCCAAUUUUCUGAAUUGUUCGUUAAAAAAAAAAAAUCAGAAAGUACUUUCAGGACGAAACCCAGGCUCCGAGGGCAUUAUCUGCCACAUGGAUCCAGCGAGGCAGAGCUGCGCACAGGAUGGAUGGAUUUCUACAGCAGCAGAUUCGUGCUAAGGAAGCCCUUUCCAACAGGCAGAGCAGUGCCACCUGAGCCUGGGCUGCCUCUGCAGAUGGUGAGCUCCAUGUCACUGAAGCUGCGGCAAGUGGACACAGGACAGCCACUUGACCUACCAAGAAGAGGAAGCAGACCAGGAGGCUAGGGCAAGAGCUCUGAUGCCAGCCUCCCUGGGCUUGAAACCUAGCCCCUUCUCUUCAUUCAAUGUGUAACCUUCACUUAGCUGUGCCUCAGUUUCCUCAUCUAUAAAGUGGGGAUAGUAAUAGUACCUACCCCAAGUCCCAUGAAGAUUAAAUGAGAUAAUACAUGUAAAGCAAUAGGACAGGGCCCGACGCAGUUAUUAUCGUCAUUGUUGAUAUUUGUAUUAAUAGUACAGAAAGGGGAGUUAUUGGCCUCUCACAGGCCAGCAGGGUGUUCACGCCCUAUAACCCAGGGUUCCACUAACACCCUAGUGUGCUCUUGUGGUUCUGUCUGCCCAGCAGCCUUACCCUCCCCCUUCUACCAGUGACACCCCGGCCCCUUCCAUUAGCCCAUAGCACAUGACCGGGCCCGGCCACUCAGAAUCUCCUAUCCCCC